CGAGAGAACAUGCGCAAUGACGUGCUGCCGCCAGCUGCCGCUCGCGUCCCGACGUUAAUGAAGUCCACUUCGGGUUUUCCCAGAGGGUAGGGGCGGGGAAGUCGGCUGGAGCCUCUGAUUCUCCUGAAGCUGAAAGGGUUCUUUAGUUUCAUUUACUUCUGUGCUAGGGUGGAGGGACUGCAAUCCGCAGCCGCGAAUAUCUUCUCCAUUUCCCCGGGGAAAACUGGCUUAAUAGAAAACGUUCUACACACAACCUUCUUGUAACUUGGAGAGUCUGCUUUUCUGGGUGGAAAUGAGCGAUAUCAGACCGAGGUAUGCUGUGGCAUGUGGUAACGUGGAGACCACUGCCAGGACUCCAGCGGCUGGAGGAGUUUGAAGGUCAUGGGACAUAGAGAAGUGAAAAUGUUUUGUGCAAUAUUCAGGCAUUACCCAUCCAAAAAAUCAAAGAGAAAGGACAAUUUGGAGUGUUGGAGAGCCAAUCUGAAAUCAGC